rnacentral:rRNA from 1 species
GAUGAACGCUGGCGGCGUGCCUAAUACAUGCAAGUCGAGCGAACGGACGAGAAGCUUGCUUCUCUGAUGUUAGCGGCGGACGGGUGAGUAACACGUGGAUAACCUACCUAUAAGACUGGGAUAACUUCGGGAAACCGGAGCUAAUACCGGAUAAUAUUUUGAACCGCAUGGUUCAAAAGUGAAAGACGGUCUUGCUGUCACUUAUAGAUGGAUCCGCGCUGCAUUAGCUAGUUGGUAAGGUAACGGCUUACCAAGGCAACGAUGCAUAGCCGACCUGAGAGGGUGAUCGGCCACACUGGAACUGAGACACGGUCCAGACUCCUACGGGAGGCAGCAGUAGGGAAUCUUCCGCAAUGGGCGAAAGCCUGACGGAGCAACGCCGCGUGAGUGAUGAAGGUCUUCGGAUCGUAAAACUCUGUUAUUAGGGAAGAACAUAUGUGUAAGUAACUGUGCACAUCUUGACGGUACCUAAUCAGAAAGCCACGGCUAACUACGUGCCAGCAGCCGCGGUAAUACGUAGGUGGCAAGCGUUAUCCGGAAUUAUUGGGCGUAAAGCGCGCGUAGGCGGUUUUUUAAGUCUGAUGUGAAAGCCCACGGCUCAACCGUGGAGGGUCAUUGGAAACUGGAAAACUUGAGUGCAGAAGAGGAAAGUGGAAUUCCAUGUGUAGCGGUGAAAUGCGCAGAGAUAUGGAGGAACACCAGUGGCGAAGGCGACUUUCUGGUCUGUAACUGACGCUGAUGUGCGAAAGCGUGGGGAUCAAACAGGAUUAGAUACCCUGGUAGUCCACGCCGUAAACGAUGAGUGCCAAGUGUUAGGGGGUUUCCGCCCCUUAGUGCUGCAGCUAACGCAUUAAGCACUCCGCCUGGGGAGUACGACCGCAAGGUUGAAACUCAAAGGAAUUGACGGGGACCCGCACAAGCGGUGGAGCAUGUGGUUUAAUUCGAAGCAACGCGAAGAACCUUACCAAAUCUUGACAUCCUUUGACAACUCUAGAGAUAGAGCCUUCCCCUUCGGGGGACAAAGUGACAGGUGGUGCAUGGUUGUCGUCAGCUCGUGUCGUGAGAUGUUGGGUUAAGUCCCGCAACGAGCGCAACCCUUAAGCUUAGUUGCCAUCAUUAAGUUGGGCACUCUAAGUUGACUGCCGGUGACAAACCGGAGGAAGGUGGGGAUGACGUCAAAUCAUCAUGCCCCUUAUGAUUUGGGCUACACACGUGCUACAAUGGACAAUACAAAGGGCAGCGAAACCGCGAGGUCAAGCAAAUCCCAUAAAGUUGUUCUCAGUUCGGAUUGUAGUCUGCAACUCGACUACAUGAAGCUGGAAUCGCUAGUAAUCGUAGAUCAGCAUGCUACGGUGAAUACGUUCCCGGGUCU